GGGGCAGCCAACGGCGUGGAUCCCGGCGACUGACAUUACAGUGAGGAAACUGCUGUGUGGUGGUGAGUAGGCGGCACAGCUUGUCUGUUUUCCAAACCAUUCAGAAGAUGUAAUUGUAUCCAUCUUACUGUGCAGCUGGGAGGAUUCCACUGAUGGUGCUGAAGUAGGCAGAUGAGAAGGCUGGUGCUGUGGCCUCCCUGUUGGCACGUUAGAAGGAGAACCACACCAUAGGGAUGGCAGAACAGGGAACAGGAAGGAGCCUGGGACACUGAGGGCUUCAUGGAAUCUCCAAACCAGCCCUGAACUGCCUACAUCUGGACUUCAUUCACACGAGAGAAAAAUAAACUCCCACUUUUUAUUGUUGAUUUUUUUCAAAUUAAGCUUAUUAUAUUUUAUUAUGACUACAUUUGUAUGUCCUAAGCAGUACAGCCUAGUGAAACAUGUCAGCUAGAAUAUAUGCUGGGUCUUUUGAUUUUAACAUGUGCUCCAGUGGGCUUUGUCUACUCUGUCUAGUUUCAGUGCAAGUUACUAGAAGAGCCCUGGGCCACAGAAGGGAGGCCCCUUGCCUCAGGUCACACAGCAGGGAAGGGACAGAGCUGGAGUUUGACCCCAGGGCGCCAUAUCCUAACCCUCAACCCUCUUUCUCAGUAGCUCCCAGUUUUAGGUGACGCUGGACUCCCCCAGGCUCGGCCAGGACAACGGGCAGACUGAUCUACGGCUGUUCUGCCUUAUAGGCCAUUAGGCCAAGAGGCCCUUUCGUACUUCUCAGGGGU